rnacentral:rRNA from 1 species
UACCCUUGACAUGUCCGGAAUCCCGAAGAGAGUUUGGGAGGUGCUCGCAAGAGAACCGGAACACAGGUGCUGCAUGGCUGUCGUCAGCUCGUGUCGUGAGAUGUUGGGUUAAGUCCCGCAACGAGCGCAACCCUUGUCAUUAGUUGCCAUCAUUUGGUUGGGCACUCUAAUGAGACUGCCGGUGACAAACCGGAGGAAGGUGGGGAUGACGUCAAGUCCUCAUGGCCCUUAUGGGUAGGGCUUCACACGUCAUACAAUGGUCGGUACAGAGGGUUGCCAACCCGCGAGGGGGAGCUAAUCCCACAAAGCCGAUCGUAGUCCGGAUCGCAGUCUGCAACUCGACUGCGUGAAGUCGGAAUCGCUAGUAAUCGUGGAUCAGCAUGUCACGGUGAAUACGUUCCCGGGCCUU